rnacentral:lncRNA from 1 species
CCUGUCUCCUGGGUGGCUUGGUGAACAUAAGCACAAGCACAAAUUCUAGGGGAUGUGAGAUGACCUGAGACAGAUCAAAUCACAGGGCUCCUAUCACGACUGUGGUGAUCAUCCUAGAACCUCAGUGCCCAGAGCUUCAGGGCCUUCCUCUCUAUAUGCUUUCACUCCUUCAGCCUGCAAGGGUCAGAUAUGCCAUCAAAACAAUGACCUCUUCUUUUUUUCCUUUGUAUUUUGAUAAACACUAAAGAUGGAGCUGUUCAACUUUAUCUUGGGGAAACCCUCAGCACUGGUUUAUUUGGUGUCCUGGAACCUCUACUGCUUUCAAUAUAUGGUCAUCAAGUAAGUCCACUGCCAGCAGGAAUGGAUAUGACACGAUGUGAAUCACGCUGUGAAAGGUAGGGGGUUUUGUUUUGUUCUGUUUUGCUUUCAGCUUUACCUCAGAAAGUCAUGAAUCCUAAAGCCAAAAUUUAUAAAAAUAUUAAAAGGUAUCCAAUGGAAUAGCAGAUAUCGAUUGUAAUCAUCUUACUAAAUUCUAAUGUAAAAGAGUUAUUUUUUCACUUUAAGAAUUAAGUUUGCAAAGGUCAUGAAGUAUUGAAUCAUUUGUACCAAAAGAGCUCCUACUUUGUAUAAAAAAAACAAGGGAUACACACAAAAACACACAUGCACACACAAGUGUAAAGCCUCUUUCAUUUUAUAUACAAUAAUUCAGAUAAUUUAUUAUAAUCACAAUUUUACCUUUUAAUUCAAGAUGAGGGAGAUAUUUGCAAUCAAAUAGGAUUUUUAUUUUACUUAUUCAAUACUCCCUUUAUUAAAUAUAGUAUUUCCACAGACCAUCAAAUUUUAAGUAUAAUCUGAAGAUAUGUUUAUUACUAUUGCUCAUUUACUAAUACACACAAAAUAACCACUUUUUUUUCAGUUGAGUACAAUUAGGUACAUUGACUCUUUUCAUAUAGGAUUUGUCAUGACAACUGAAUCUUCCUUUCUUCAGCACUAUCCACGCAAGUCAAAAUAUUUUCUUCUGAAAAAAAAAUUCUAAGAAUAGUGAUCAC